ACGAUUCCUCAGGAGCAUUUCGUGUUACACCCUCCUGUCUUGGUGUGCCUCUGCAACUCCAACUUGUCUGGGUUCUUUUUUCUGCAUCCCUUUUGUGUGGGAGAAAAAGUCGAUCCCUUGUUGGUUUUGGUCGACUUUUGCUAAAUGUCGAUUCCCUGUUGAGUUUCCUCGACUUUUGCCAAAUGUCGAUCUCUUGUUGAGUUUGGUCGACUUUUGUCAAAAAGUCGAUUCCUGGUGCUUUAGGUCAGAAGUCGAUCCCUUGCGUAAAAAGUCUACUUUGCCAAUUUUGUCCUUUUGUGCUGUCCUAGGGUCUAUAAAUAGGACCCCUAGGUUCUCCUUUUCCUUCAUCCAUCCAUGGCUCUUCUUGUGAGUCUCUUUGCUGAUUUUAUUCAGGGAGAGAUCGAGGAGCUGGAUCGAAUUCUGAAUAUUUUGGAUCCUCGGUCGUCAACCUUGGAUCUUCCUUCUCUGCGCCAGCUUAUUGUUGAGCGGCAGAGUGUUGCUGUUGCUGCUCGGGAGUCCAUUUUUGAAGAAUGGUCUGGUGGCGAUCUUCCGCCUGCCUCUUCUUCUGCUAUUCCUCCCCGUGGCCGACGUCGGAGGCGUCCCCGCCGCGGUGCUUCUCCGCUGGAUCAGGUCCCUCGUCGCUUGCGUCGCCGUAUUAAUUUUAAUUAGGAGC
rnacentral:lncRNA from 1 species